rnacentral:rRNA from 1 species
GCGGAGGGAUCAUUACACAAAUAUGAAGGCGGGCUGGAACCUCUCGGGGUUACAGCCUUGCUGAAUUAUUCACCCUUGUCUUUUGCGUACUUCUUGUUUCCUUGGUGGGUUCGCCCACCACUAGGACAAACAUAAACCUUUUGUAAUUGCAAUCAGCGUCAGUAACAAAUUAAUAAUUACAACUUUCAACAACGGAUCUCUUGGUUCUGGCAUCGAUGAAGAACGCAGCGAAAUGCGAUAAGUAGUGUGAAUUGCAGAAUUCAGUGAAUCAUCGAAUCUUUGAACGCACAUUGCGCCCUUUGGUAUUCCAAAGGGCAUGCCUGUUCGAGCGUCAUUUGUACCCUCAAGCUUUGCUUGGUGUUGGGCGUCUUGUCUCUAGCUUUGCUGGAGACUCGCCUUAAAGUAAUUGGCAGCCGGCCUACUGGUUUCGGAGCGCAGCACAAGUCGCACUCUCUAUCAGCAAAGGUCUAGCAUCCAUUAAGCCUUUUUUUCAACUUUUGACCUCGGAUCAGGUAGGGAUACCCGCUGAACUUAAGCAUAUCAA